CUUUUCACCUUAGGAAGGAGGUCUCUUUACUUUUUAUUUGAAAAGGAAUUGUUUUUGUUGUUUUCCUAAACCUGAGGAAUGAAGGAAGCCAUCCUUGAGGAGUCAAGAUAAACUUCAGAUGUAAGCUGAACAGUUGCUGGGUCACAGAAUUCCACCGGGAAGGGGAAGAGCCUCUGGAGCAGUGCCCACAGUCCUGCCUUCUGUGGUUGGGAGAUUUCAAAAUGAGUUCUGGGAAAUGUUAGGCCAUAUGUAAAAGAAGAAGUGAUCUUGAGAAAGGCCAUGGUACCCGUGGCUGGAGGUCCUGGACGCAGUCUGUCCCUCAUCUCAUCCAUGGAGAAUGUUCCCUAUAUUAGUUUGUUCUCACAUUGUUAUAAAGAUCUACCUGAGCCUGGGUAAUUUAUAAAGAAAAGAGGUGUAAUUGACUCACAGUUCUGCAGGCUGUACAGGAAGCCUGGCUGGGGAGGCCUCAGGAAAUUAUCAAUCAUGGCAGAAGGUGAAGUGGAAACAAGCACAUCUUCCAUGGUUGGAGAAGGAGGGAGAGAGCGAAGGGUAAGGCACCACACACUUUUAAACAACCAGGUCUUGUGAGAAUUCACAGUCAUGGGAACAGCCAGGAGGAAUUCUACCCCCAUGAUCUAAUCACUUACCACCAGGUCCCUCCCCCACCACUGGGGAUUACAAUUUGACCUGAGAUUUGGGCGAGGACACAAAUCCAAACUGUCAUUCCCCAACUUGUUACAACACCUACUGCUCCUUGCUUCAGUGCUCGUUUUCAGCUGGCUUCAGUUGCUAGUUUCUGGUGUUUCUUAAUUGGGUUUCUUAAAUGGUUUUCGGAGGUUAUGUAAAAUUGUGUCACCGAAAUAUGUGUGUGUGUGCAUGUGUGUGUGUGUGUCUGCACGCAUGCACAUGAUCUCCUGGGGGAGAGAUUCAAACAUUUUCAUCAUGUUUUCAAAAGAUGCCGGGAUCCACGGAAGGUUAAUAAUUACUUCUUCUUGUGUCCUUGUUCAGCAUGGGUUCUUUCAGUGAAAUUAGGUAAAUACCUCACUCAUAUAGCCUGACACUGUGAAUAUAGAUUGUGCUAUAGUUUAAGUGUUUCUUCUAAGAAACAAGUGUUGAAAGCUUAAUCCUUAAGACAACAGUGUUGGGAGGUGGGGCCUCAUGAGGUUGAUGCCAUCAUGAUGGGAGUGAGUGAGUUACUGUGAGAGCAGGCUCCUGAUAACAGGAUGAGUUUGGCCCCCUUCUGCUGCUCUCUCACGCACACUCUCUUGCCCUUCUGCCUUUCAUCACGUUAUGAUCUGGCAAGAAGGUACUCGCCAGAUCCCAGCCUCUUGAUCUUGGAUUUCCCAGCCUCCAUAACUGUAAGCCAAUAAAUUUCUUUUCAUUAUGAA